rnacentral:rRNA from 1 species
GACGAACCGAGCGAACGUUGUUCGGAAUCACUGGGCUUAAAGGGCGCGUAGGCGGCAUGACAAGUCACUUGUGAAAUCUCCGGGCUUAACUCGGAACGGUCAAGUGAUACUGUCGCGCUAGAGUGCGGAAGGGGCAAUCAGAAUUCUUGGUGUAGCGGUGAAAUGCGUAGAUAUCAAGAGGAAUACCUGAGGUGAAGACGGGUUGCUAGGCCGACACUGACGCUGAAGCGCGAAAGCCAGGGGAGCAAACGGG